rnacentral:rRNA from 1 species
AUUGAACGCUGGCGGCAGGCCUAACACAUGCAAGUCGAGCGGCAGCGGGAAAGUAGCUUGCUACUUUUGCCGGCGAGCGGCGGACGGGUGAGUAAUGCCUGGGGAUCUGCCCAGUCGAGGGGGAUAACUACUGGAAACGGAAGCUAAUACCGCAUACGCCCUACGGGGGAAAGCAGGGGACCUUCGGGCCUUGCGCGAUUGGAUGAACCCAGGUGGGAUUAGCUAGUUGGUGAGGUAAUGGCUCACCAAGGCGACGAUCCCUAGCUGGUCUGGGAGGAUGAUCAGCCACACUGGAACUGAGACACGGUCCAGACUCCUACGGGAGGCAGCAGUGGGGAAUAUUGCACAAUGGGGGAAUCCCUGGUGCAGCCAUGCCGCGUGUGUGAAGAAGGCCUUCGGGUUGUAAAGCACUUUCAGCGAGGAGGAAAGGUUGGUAGCUAAUAACUGCCAGCUGUGACGUUACUCGCAGAAGAAGCACCGGCUAACUCCGUGCCAGCAGCCGCCGUAA